rnacentral:rRNA from 1 species
GUCUUUUUGAAAUAAAUUUAAAGUCUAAUCUGCCCACUGAUAUUAUUAAAUGGCCGCAGUAUUUUAACUGUGCAAAGGUAGCAUAAUCAUUAGUCUUUUAAUUGAGGGCUUGUAUGAAUGAUUGGACGAGAUAUAAACUGUCUUAAAUAAAAUAUUUUGAAUUUUAUUUUUUAGUUAAAAAGCUAAAAUAAAUUUAAAAGACGAGAAGACCCUAUAGAUCUUUAUAAAAAUUAUAUUUAUUUUUUUUAGUUAUAUUUUAAAUUAAUAUUUUUUUUUAUUAUAUUGGGGUGAUAUUGAAAUUUAAUUAACUUUCAAUAAUUUUAAACCAUUAAUUUAUGUAUAAUUGAUCCUUUAUUAGCGAUUAUAAAUUUAAGUUACCUUAGGGAUAACAGCGUAAUUAUUUUGGAGAGUUCUUAUCGAUAAAAUAGAUUGCGACCUCGAUGUUGGAUUAAGAUUAAUUUUGGGUGUAGCAGUUCAAAAAAUUAAGUCUGUUCGACUUUUAAUUUCUU